UACGUAGGGGCAAGCGUUAUCCGGAUUUACUGGGUGUAAAGGGAGCGUAACGGAAUGGCAAGUCUGAAGUGAAAUGCCCGGGCUCAACCCGGGAACUGCUUUGGAAACUGUCGAUCUGGAGUGUUGGAGAGGUAAGUGGAAUUCCUGGUGUACGGUGAAAUGCGUAGAGAUCAGGAAGAACACCGGAGGCGAAGGCGGCUUACUGGACAAAGACUGACGUUGAGGCUCGAAAGCGUGGGAAGCAAACAGGAUUAAUACCCUGGUA
rnacentral:rRNA from 1 species